CGUAGGGUGCAAGCGUUAAUCGGAAUUACUGGGCGUAAAGCGUGCGCAGGCGGUUAUGUAAGACAGGUGUGAAAUCCCCGGGCUUAACCUGGGAACUGCAUUUGUGACUGCAUAGCUAGAGUACGGUAGAGGGGGAUGGAAUUCCGCGUGUAGCAGUGAAAUGCGUAGAUAUGCGGAGGAACACCGAUGGCGAAGGCAAUCCCCUGGACCUGUACUGACGCUCAUGCACGAAAGCGUGGGGAGCAAACAGGAUUAGAUACCCUAGUAGUCCACGCCCUAAACGAUGUCAACUGGUUGUUGGGUCUCCACUGACUCAGUAACGAAGCUAACGCGUGAAGUUGACCGCCUGGGGAGUACGGCCGCAAGGUUG
rnacentral:rRNA from 1 species